rnacentral:rRNA from 1 species
AAUGAACGUUGGCGGCGUGGAUUAGGCAUGCAAGUCGAACGAGACCUGUAGCAAUACAGUGAAAGUGGCGAAAGGGAGAGUAAUACGUAGGUACCUGCCCUCGGGUCUGGGAUAGCUACGGGAAACUGCAAUUAAUACCGGAUGACGUCUCUGGACCAAAGGUGUGAUUCCGCCAGGGGAUGGGCCUGCGUCCUAUCAGCUAGUUGGUGUGGUAAUGGCGCACCAAGGCUAAGACGGGUACGGGGUGUGAGAGCAUGCCCCCGCUCACUGGGACUGAGAUACUGCCCAGACACCUACGGGUGGCUGCAGUCGAGAAUCUUCCGCAAUGGGCGCAAGCCUGACGGAGCGACGCCGCGUGUGGGAUGAAGGCCUUCGGGUUGUAAACCACUGUCAGUGGGGAGCAAAUGCAUCAGGGUUCUCCCUGGUGUUUGAGCGAUCCGCAGAGGAAGCACAGGCUAAUUCCGUGCCAGCCGCCGCAGUAAUAC